rnacentral:rRNA from 1 species
AACGAACGCUGGCGGCAGGCUUAACACAUGCAAGUCGAACGCCCCGCAAGGGGAGUGGCAGACGGGUGAGUAACGCGUGGGAACGUGCCCUUCGCUUCGGAAUAGCCCCGGGAAACUGGGAGUAAUACCGGAUACGCCGGGUUGGGAAAGAUUUAUCGGCGAAGGAUCGGCCCGCGUUGGAUUAGGUAGUUGGCGGUGUAAUGGAGCACCAAGCCUACGAUCCAUAGCUGGUCUGAGAGGAUGAUCAGCCACACUGGGACUGAGACACGGCCCAGACUCCUACGGGAGGCAGCAGUGGGGAAUCUUGGACAAUGGGCGCAAGCCUGAUCCAGCCAUGCCGCGUGAGUGAAGAAGGCCUUAGGGUUGUAAAACUCUUUCGCCGGAGAAGAUAAUGACGGUAUCCGGAGAAGAAGCACCGGCUAACUCUGUGCCAGCCGCCGCCGUAACAC